rnacentral:rRNA from 1 species
GAACCCCACACUCCGUAAAUGACCCUUCCGUAAGGGUGAACCUGCGGAAGGAUCAUUACCGAGUGUAGGGUUCCUAGCGAGCCCAACCUCCCACCCGUGUUUACUGUACCUUAGUUGCUUCGGCGGGCCCGCCAUUCAUGGCCGCCGGGGGCUCUCAGCCCCGGGCCCGCGCCCGCCGGAGACACCACGAACUCUGUCUGAUCUAGUGAAGUCUGAGUUGAUUGGAUCGCAAUCAGUUAAAACUUUCAACAAUGGAUCUCUUGGUUCCGGCAUAGAUGAAGAACGCAGCGAAAUGCGAUAACUAGUGUGAAUUGCAGAAUUCCGUGAAUCAUCGAGUCUUUGAACGCACAUUGCGCCCCCUGGUAUUCCGGGGGGCAUGCCUGUCCGAGCGUCAUUGCUGCCCAUCAAGCACGGCUUGUGUGUUGGGUCGACGUCCCCUCUCCGGGGGGGACGGGCCCCAAAGGCAGCGGCGGCACCGCGUCCGAUCCUCGAGCGUAUGGGGCUUUGUCACCCGCUCUGUAGGCCCGGCCGGCGCUUGCCGAACGCAAAUCAAUCUUUUUCCAGGUUGACCUCGAAUCAGGUAGGGAUACCCGCUGAACUUAAGCAUAUCAAUAAGCGGAGGAAUGCUCACCCCUGAUGGAACGUCCGUCCGUAUCGAGCGGGGCCAGGCUCCGGGCUGCGCGUUAAUGAUCCUUCCGCAUCCACAGCGGGAAAAAGGGGAAAAUAACCGGGACCCCCCGAGGAAACAGCACUACUCUGUUUUGAUCUAGGUGGAAGAUCUAGAAUUUUAAUUGUUAAUCGCAAUCAAGUUAAAACUAUUCAACAAAG